rnacentral:rRNA from 1 species
UACGGAGGGUGCAAGCGUUAUCCGGAUUCACUGGGUUUAAAGGGUGCGUAGGCGGGCUAUUAAGUCAGUGGUGAAAGCCCCAGCUUAACUUGGGAACUGCCAUUGAUACUGAUGGUCUUGAGUACAUUUGAGGUGGGCGGAAUGUGUCAUGUAGCGGUGAAAUGCUUAGAUAUGACACAGAACACCGAUUGCGAAGGCAGCUCACUAAACUGUAACUGACGCUGAGGCACGAAAGCGUGGGGAGCAAACAGG